GAUUGCAGGCUGCAACUCGCCUGCAUGAAGUCGGAAUUGCUAGUAAUCGCAGAUCGAGCAUGCUGCGGUGAAUACGUUCCCGGGCCUUGUACACACCGCCCGUCACACCAUGGGAGUCGGUAACACCCGAAGUCGGUAGCCUAACCGUAAGGAGGGCGCCGCCGAAGGUGGGAUUGAUGACUGGGGUGAAGUCGUAACAAGGUAGC
rnacentral:rRNA from 1 species